CCAUCGAGAUGAAGAGCUGCUGGCCAGACUUAACAGCGCCCAGUGCCAGCACUGAGCUGCUCCCCAACCCCAAUUCGAGGGGUCUCUUCCCCCCUCCCACCCCGUGUCCGUGGUGAUGGAUGCACACAAACCACGAUGUCCGAAUUUUCGGCUGGGCUGACCCAGGUGUGCCGUGGGAUUUGUGCCCGUUUCGCCGUCGGAAGCGUCAGUUUGGGUCUUUGAGGAGCUCGUGUCAAAUAAUUGGCAUCACUUCUCACAAAAGGCAGCGACCAACCCGAACGAAUGAUCUGAAUCUGGCACCUCCCAUGAAUGCAGGCGAGCUGGCAGAGAGCCCGUGAAAGAGGUACUGACUUUGCAAGCCCGUGCCUGUUGUAGCAUAAUAAGGUCAUUGUCAAGAAGACGCGGCACCGGGAGGCUGAUCUUGAGCAAAACAUGGCCCCGGUUGUGCGUUGUGCAACCCCUGUGGCUGCUCCAACAGUGGCCCCAUUGUUUCCCAUUGUGAGGCCACGGCGUCUCGUUAUCCAGCGCAGAGCCGGCUCACGCUGGGCUGGCGCAGACGCUGCUCCAUCAUGCAUCACUGCUGAGUGUCAGAAGGACGGCGUGUGCUGAAUUAGCUGCCUCCCGAAUGGCACGAUGUGAUGUUCUCACUUUGCACCACCCGUGUGAGCUCUUGGCUGAAUAGAAUUCUUCCCUACCAGCCGCCUUAUCUUGCAGAACAGCUCAACGUGGAAAGGCUUUGGGAGGAAAACCCGUUUGGAGCAGGUAAUCAGACUGUGGAACAUCUCCCCGACCACAUCCACGGCUCCCAUGUUGGAGAAGAUGAACUGCUGCCCUUGGUGAGAUGCAGGGCAUGGGGCAUCACGUAGGUGGUGCUGAUAUGGUGCCAAUGGGAUGCAGAGCUGCUGCUGAAAGCCAGGAGGAAGUGAUGGCAAGGAAGGAAAAGAAAUGGAUCAUCCUGAGGGGAAGAAAAGACACCAAGUCUUCCAAGUUCGAGGUUGGCAUCCAUAGGAAAAUAUAACACCCACAUGAGCCACUAUGGGAGAGCUUGGUUGGAUUCCACCCAGGAGGCAAAUGGAAACCAGUGGGCAAGUGAGGCACGCAGCAGCAGAAAGAAUAAAGAAAGCAACAGGCCCCUUAAAAACAUACUUAAUCGUUUCCAAACUUUAUUUCAUGGUGAUUGACGAAAGACACAAGUUAGUAAUGGUUAUAUCAUGCUGCUCCUCUACUGUGCAUUGCCCUUCAGAAUUCAUACAGCAGUUCACAACAGUCAUUAAUUUACCCUAUAAAUGAAGCCACAUGGACAUUAUUAAAAAAAAAAAAAAAAAAGAAAAAAAAAAGAAAA